rnacentral:rRNA from 1 species
CGCUCCCUGCAAUUUAUAUACUGGGGGUCGGGCCUGCCCGGUGCGGAGAUGAAUGUUUCUGUAAACGGCCGCCGUAAUGGGUGCAAAGGUAGCAUAAUCUCUUGCCCUUUAAUUGAGGGAUUGUUGAAUGGUCUGACGGGGGCUCAACUGUCUCGCCUUAAAAAUGUGAAAUUAACUUUUAAGUGAAAAGGCUUUAAUGCGUAGGCUGGACGAGAAGACCCCGUGAAGUUUCCCCCGUAAGGGGUUUGGUUGGGGCAACAGAGGAGUAGAAAAAACCUCCAUCUUGUUUGGUUUAUUUGGCGGUUGAUCCGUAAAGAGCGAGUAGAGGAAUAAGUUACUCCGGGGAUAACAGCGUAAUCUCCUUUGAGAGCUCUUAUCGAAAAGGGGGGUUGCGACCUCGAUGUUGGAUUAGGACAUCCCCAGGGUGCAGGAGCUCUGAAAGGUGGGUCUGUUCGACCUUUAAAGUCCUACA